AAGCUAUACUUGUCUCACUUUCAUCCACAGAUGUACCUCAGGCUAAGAGCAGCACACAUGGACAAGAUACUGUUCUCCAGAGGUGUAUCAGAGAGUGUCCUGGAGUUCUGAGGGUGACUGAAGUGGUCCAGCUCAUCAUCCACUCUCUCAGUGUCUCCAAACCUUUGGAGAAUGCCUCACAUCUGAGGCAUUCUGAAUUUGAAGGGGGGGCAGGGCAGAAGAGGGACUCCUGAAGCCACUGAAGGAAGGAAAUCAUUACAGGGUUCUACAGAAGUAGGUCAUGUGCUACAGCUGCUCAUAGUUUAAGAGGAAGAAACAUGGGACCUCAAACAUGGAACACGACUCCUUCAAAAUGCUUGAGAGCAGCCCAAGAAAAACAUCCUCAGAGGCUUAUUUAAUAAACAUUAUCUAUAAUAGUCUCAAUGU
rnacentral:lncRNA from 12 species